rnacentral:tRNA from 1 species
AGGGGUAUAGUUUAAUGGUAGAGUGCAUACUUACUUAGCAUGCACAAGAUCCUGGGUUCAAAACCCAGUACCUCCA